rnacentral:rRNA from 1 species
GAUGAACGCUGGCGGCGUGCCUAAUACAUGCAAGUCGAGCGAACGGACGCGAAGCUUGCUUCUCUGAUGUUAGCGGCGUACGGGUGAGUAACACGUGGAUCACCUACCUAUAAGACUCGGAUAACUUCGGGAAACCGUAGCUAAUACCGGAUAAUAUUUUGAACCGCAUGGUUCAAAAGUUAAAGACGGUCUUGCUGUCACUUAUAGAUGGAUCCGCGCUGCAUUAGCUAGUUGGUAAGGUAACGGCUUACCAAGGCAACGAUGCAUAGCCGACCUGAGAGGGUGAUCGGCCACACUGGAACUGAGACACGGUCCAGACUCCUACGGGAGGCAGCAGUAGGGAAUCUUCCGCAAUGGGCGAAAGCCUGACGGAGCAACGCCGCGUGAGUGAUGAAGGUCUUCGGAUCGUAAAACUCUGUUAUUAGGGAAGAACAUAUGUGUAAGUAACUGUGCACAUCUUGACGGUACCUAAUCAGAAAGCCACGGCUAACUACGUG